AACAGAAUUGCUGGGUCUUAUGGUAACUCUAUGUUUAACAUUUUGAGGAACUGCCAAGCUCUUUUCUAAAGCAAGCUAUACCACUUUAUAUCUUCAUUAGCAGU
rnacentral:pre_miRNA from 1 species